rnacentral:rRNA from 1 species
AGCUCCAAUAGCGUAUACUAAUGUUGUUGCAGUUAAAAAGCUCGUAGUCGGAUUUCAGUUUGCUGAUGCUUAAUCCUUUCGGUUUUUGCAUUGGCUUACUUCAUGACAGAAACUUCCAUGCCAUUUAUUUGGUGUGUUUCGGGACUGUCUCAUUUACUUUGAGAAAAUUAGAGUGUUCAAAGCAGGUAUAUAGCCUGAAUAUUACUCUUGGAAUAAUAAUAUAGGACUUCAGUCCUAGUUUGUUGGUGAUCUGGGACCGGAGUAAUGAUUGAUAGGGACAGUUGGGGUCAUUCAUACUGCAAAGCGAGAGGUGAAAUUCUUGGACCUUUGUAUGAUGAACAACUGCGAAAGCAUUUGACUAGGAUGUUCCCG